rnacentral:rRNA from 1 species
CGGUUCGGUUUCGGGUUUACGGUUACGGUACGGUACGGUACGGUACGUACGUACGUACGUACGUCGUACGUACGUACGUACGUCGUCGUCGGUACGUAGUAGUUAGGUUACGGUUACGGUACCGUACGACGACGACGACGUACGUAGUCCCAAUGGUUUCACAGGCCAUUUAUGGGUUGGGGGCCAUAUGGGANACCGGCCGGGGGNUAAACCCNGGAGAAGGUGGGGAUAGCCGGAUACAGAGCAUCGACCCCGUUCUCCUGGGGCCANACCAGUUACCAANAAUUGGGAGGGAACNGGAAGGGAACUUUCCUGGGUAUGCGGGAUAAAGCGUUGAGAGAUCGAGGAAAGAAACAGUUGGGCCGGAGGAAGGGCCGCUUCUGCGUACGGACCAAAUUAAGCGAACACUCGAGGGAACGAAUCGGAAGGGNGACAGUGGAUAUACACCAGCUCAGACCAAUGNGAUANGUGUNUNUGUNCGCANGNCGNCANNANCCCAGUACCUCCUGUGCUCGUGCCUACCACGAAUUAUCGGAGGGGCCCGCACAAGCGGUGGAGUAUGUGGUUUAAUUCGAUGCAACGUCGACGCGGCC